AGUGAACGCUGGCGGUAGGCCUAACACAUGCCAGUCGAACGGCAGCACAGUAAGAGCUUGCUCUUACGGGUGGCGAGUGGCGGACGGGUGAGGAAUACAUCGGAAUCUACUUUUUCGUGGGGGAUGACGUAGGGAAACUUACGCUAAUACCGCAUACGACCUACGGGUGAAAGCAGGGGAUCUUCGGACCUUGCGCGAUUGAAUGAGCCGAUGUCGGAUUAGCUAGUUGGCGGGGUAAAGGCCCACCUAGGCGACGAUCCGUAGCUGGUCUGAAAGGAUGAUCAGCCACACUGGAACUGAGACACGGUCCAGACUCCUACGGGAGGCAGCAGUGGGGAAUAUUGGACAAUGGGCGCAAGCCUGAUCCAGCCAUACCGCGUGGGUGAAGAAGGCCUUCGGGUUGUAAAGCCCUUUUGUUGGGAAAGAAAAGCAGCAGGUUAAUACCCCGCUGUUCUGACGGUACCCAAAGAAUAAGCACCGGCUAACUUCGUG
rnacentral:rRNA from 1 species